AAUAUUCCGCAAUGGGGAGAACGUGAUGGAGCAAUAAGCAGGAGGUAGAGGGCCUAAGGAUCGAGAACUUAUUUUCCCGGAGAAGAAGCAAUGGCGCAAUUUGGGGAAUAAGCAUCGGUUAACUUGCGCCAGCAGCCGCGGUAAUACAGAGGGCGCAAGUGUUAUCCAGAAGGAUCGGGGGUAAAGCGUCUGUAGGUGGUUUUUUAAGUCGGAAGUCAAAUCCCAGGGCUCAACCCUGGACAGGCGAUGGAAGAACCAAGCUGGAGUACGGUAGGGGCAGAGGGAAUUUGCGGUGGAGCGGUGAAAUGAGUAGAGAUGGGAAAGAACACCAACGGGGAAAGCCCUUGGCUGACUGACACUGACACUGAGAGACGAAAGCUAGGGGACAAUUAGGGAUUAGAUACCCCAGUAGUCAU
rnacentral:rRNA from 1 species